UACGUAGGGUGCAAGCGUUGUCCGGAAUUAUUGGGCGUAAAGGGCUCGUAGGUGGCCAACUAAGUCAGACGUGAAAUCCCUCGGCUUAACCGGGGAACUGCGUCUGAUACUGGAUGGCUUGAGUUCGGGAGAGGGAUGCGGAAUUCCAGGUGUAGCGGUGAAAUGCGUAGAUAUCUGGAGGAACACCGGUGGCGAAGGCGGCAUCCUGGACCGACACUGACGCUGAGGAGCGAAAGCCAGGGGAGCAAACGGG
rnacentral:rRNA from 1 species